CCUACGGGUGGCAGCAGUGAGGAAUAUUGGUCAAUGGGCGGGAGCCUGAACCAGCCAAGCCGCGUGAGGGAAGAAGGUACAGCGUAUCGUAAACCUCUUUUGUCAGGGAACAAAGGCGGGGACUAGUCCCCGGAUGAGGGUACCUGAAGAAAAAGCAUCGGCAAACUCCGUGCCAGCAGCCGCGGUAAUACGGAGGAUGCGAGCGUUAUCGGGAUUUAUUGGGUUAAAAGGGUGCGCAGGCGGCCUGUUAAGUCAGCGGGAAAAGCCCGGGGCUCAACCCCGGCGAGCCGGUGAAACUGGCGGGCUGGAGUUGGAGAGAAGUAAGCGGAAUGCGCGGUGUAGCGGUGAAAGGCUUAGAUAUCGCGCAGAACCCCGAUUGCGAAGGCAGCGUACCGGCUCCACACUGACGCUGAGGCACGAAAGCGUGGGUAUCGAACAGGAUUAGAUACCUCGGUAGUC
rnacentral:rRNA from 1 species